AUACUUUUGUAGUUCAUAAGCAGGAUGACUGUGUCACAUGGUUGAGUGAUGUGUGCCUCUCUCAAACCAUGUCACAGUGUUGGCACAAUAUCCAACUGGUG